UACGGGGGGGGCAAGCGUUGUUCGGAAUUACUGGGCGUAAAGGGCCAGUAGGCGGCCAACUAAGUCGGAUGUGAAAUCCCCAGGCUCAACUUGGGAACUGCAUCCGAUACUGGAUGGCUUGAAUUCGGGAGAGGGAUGCAGAAUUCCAGGUGUAGCGGUGAAAUGCGUAGAUAUCUGGAGGAAUACCGGUGGCGAAGGCGGCAUCCUGGACCGACAUUGACGCUGAACGGCGAAAGCUAGGGGAGCGAACAGG
rnacentral:rRNA from 1 species